rnacentral:lncRNA from 1 species
GUUUAAGGAUCACUUUAGAAGCAAAGAGGGGACUUGUCUUUGCAGACCAUGUUUCCAGAACUCCCAGCUUGCCCAGAGUGGUGUGGCCGAUAGUACAGCCCCACUAAGAGGGGGCAUGUUGAGCCUGUGGCUCUCACAUUCCGCCGAGGGCGUCCACCCUGCUUUGUACCUGGUCCGGGUACGCAGAACAGUCCUGAGAGCUUACAGGAAGAUAAGACUGGGCACCCUAGUGCCACACAGCUCCAUUCUGCCCUUGACCCACAGAAAGAAAUAAACCACGCUGUGGCAGAUUGGAGGAA